CCUACGGGUGGCAGCAGUGAGGAAUAUUGGUCAAUGGACGCAAGUCUGAACCAGCCAAGUCGCGUGCAGGAAGACGGCUCUAUGAGUUGUAAACUGCUUUUAUACAAGGGUAAACUCAGAUACGCGUAUCUGUCUGAAAGUAUCUUACGAAUAAGGAUCGGCUAACUCCGUGCCAGCAGCCGCGGUAAUACGGAGGAUUCAAGCGUUAUCCGGAUUUAUUGGGUUUAAAGGGUGCGUAGGCGGUCGGAUAAGUUAGUGGUGAAAUCUUGAGGCUCAACUUUGGAAUUGCCUUUGAUACUGGUCGUCUUGAGAAUAGUUGAGGUAGGCGGAAUGUAUGGUGUAGCGGUGAAAUGCUUAGAGAUCACACAGAACACCGAUUGCGAAGGCAGCUUACUAAGCUACUUCUGACGUUGAGGCACGAAAGCGUGGGGAUCAAACAGGAUUAGAUACCCGAGUAGUC
rnacentral:rRNA from 1 species